AAGAAAGUGACUGCCGCCCCGCACAGGGGCGAAGCUUAUAAACCAAUAUCAAAGCAAGUUUCACAGGAGCGCAGGCGCAUCAGACGGUGUUAGCAACCC
rfam:Burkholderia glathei strain DSM 50014 contig18, whole genome shotgun sequence.